UUCUAUUGUACUUGUUGUUAACAUCACCGAUCUUCGACUCCGUUCAUGGCAUCCACAGCAUCUAUCGACUCUCAACUCAUGCAAGCGCUCGAAUCCCAGACACGGGCGCUGUUGUCCGAACUGGACAAGCGUCUUCGCGCCAUCGAUUCCAAGUGGGAAUCUCGUGUUGCAGUCCUCGAAGUCCAGGUUGCAGACUCCAUGCGUCGCCUGGACUCGCUCCCCAAGGAGAUCCGCGAUGGGGUGGAUUCGCAGCUGGCGACGGCCGACAAAGCUGUGGAUGACCGGAUCCGCCAUCUUAAGGCAACCACCCUCACUCGUGUCGCGGCGUUAGCGUCGAGGACCCACGUCUUCGAGCUGUGACGACUACGGAUCGAGUCCUCGAUCGGCGGGAUCUACACGGACAUGGAGGUCAUUUGUUCCGAGAUCGAGUAGAUCGGGGUCCAGGUGUCGUCUUGCCUUCAUCCCAGCGAUGGCGGCACGCCUGGCAUCCUCGGUACACCCGGAUAGGUGAUGGGUCGCUCUCCUGUUAUCUUCAACAACACUGAUGGCUCACGUUUUGGGCCUAGCCCUGGGAUCUUCAACCGGGACAGUGGUAAUGGGUAUAAUCCACCCAAUUUCUGCUGCUCGGUCACGGGAGGAGGCUGAUACGUCCAGGCGUCGUGAUUUUCGCAGCUCGGAUGGUGCUCUGGUUGGGCGUUCAUAUCCGAAGCUUCCUAUUCCUAUCACUGUUCCCAGGUGGGACAAAUCAUUGGGAGGGGAGACUAGUGUUGUUAAAUCUGCAAUCCACACUGGUUCUUCGUCUGACAGUAAUGUAGCUUUUUUUUUGAGAGAACAGGAGGGGGGAGCCCCUACUGAAAAUUUUAUUAUAACUAGAAAAAAGCAGUGUUUAGAACAUACAGGUAGACAUAUUACAGAAGGUUAGGGUGAGUUACUACUGCCAUUGCUGAAGCCAGUCAGGGAUGACGCAAUCAAAUCUACUCUGAGCUCUAUGAGUGACCGACAGUAAUGUAGCUUCCCUCCGCGCUUACCGUCGUGCCCGAGGUCUAUGCCAGUAUUGUGCUGAAAAUGGAAGAAGGGCCACAAAUGUGCUCAGACUGUACAGCUACAUGCUAUCCAAGAAUUGUGGGACAUGUUAGCACCUGAAGUUCCUGAAUCAGAAGGAGAAAUUGAGGAUUCCACUGAGCAAUUCAUGAUGUUACUUUCCCAAGAAGCAUUUUCUGAAAAGGCUACAACAUCUACAUUCCGACUUCAAGGUUGUAUUCAAGGCCUACCAUUGUUGAUUCAUCUGGAUUUUGGAAGCUCUCACUCAUUUUUGAAUGCUGCUCUCAGUUCUUCCUUGCAUGGUGUUUCUUCCCUGCAUCAACCACUGUCUGUUCGGGUUGCUAAUGGUAAUAUUUUACACUGUACGAGUCAGCUAUCUAAGGCAGUCUGGUCUGUCCAGAAUAUGCAGUUCUAGUCGGAUCUCAAGCUUCUCCAUCUUUCUUGCUAUGAUUUGAUCAUGGGUAUGGAUUGGCUUGCACUACACAGUCCCAUGCAUGUUGAUUGGAAACAUAAAUGGUUGUCUCUCUCAUAUCAGGAUCAGCCAAUUGUUAUAUAUGGUCUGCAACCUUUGGCCCCUUCUAGCUCUCUGUUGGAGAUCACGCAACAGGAAACUCUAACAGUUACAUCACCACAACUGUGUACUCUGUCCGAAGCUGAAGUACUUCUGGUAGCGGUUCACCAGAUUUUGUGCACAUUUUAGUCACUGUUUGAGGAACCGACCAGUCUUUUACCAAGCAGGUUUUGUGACCACACUAUUCCCUUAAUUGCAGGUGCCCGCCCUGUUAAUAUCUGGCCCUACCGGUUCUCUCCUGCCAUGAAGGAUGAAGUGGAAACUCAAGUAUACGAUAUGUUACGCAGUGGGCUCAUACAACCAAGCUCCAGUGCAUUUUGUUCUCCAGUCAUCUUAGUCAAAAAGAAGGAUCAGACUUGGCGCUUCUAUGUUGACUAUAGACAUUUAAAUGCACUCACUGUUAAGCCAAGUACCCAGUUCCUGUUAUCGAUGAGCUAUUGGAUUAAUUGUUUGGAGCUUCCUGGUUUUCCAUAUUGGAUUUGCGAGCAAGAUUCCAUCAGAUACUGCUCAAGUUGGAGGAAGAACAUAAGACUGCAUACCAAACGCACAUGGGACACUACGAAUUCUGUGUCAUGGCAUUUGCUCACUAGUGCUCUAGGCACGUUUCAAAGGGCCAUGAAUCAUACACUAGCUCCGCUCUUACGCAAGUGUGUUCUGGUGUUCUUCGACAACAUUUUGAUUUAUAGUGUCAAUUGGGAGGAUCACCUUCGUGUCA